GAGAUGAGGAAGGACAAAGCAUGAAUAGCUCCAGUGAGAGUGAAUGGAUAUGAACACCAGAACCCUCUCAGAGGAUGUUGGCUGAUCGGGAUACCCAAUUCUCAAACAAGCAUGCUGAGAUGCUCAAGAUAUGGAAGUUCGCCCACAAGCUCAACCACCAGGUGAACACAUGUCAAAGGUGCAUACGGACAUGAUGAAGCCGUGAAUUGUCGCACAGGUCACUGACCUUCUUGGGUUCGAAAAACUACCUAACUGCUAUUAUCCUGAAUUUAGUUUUAUCUGAACUAAGAGGACUACCUGUGCUUCUCUAACAAAGAAUUACUCAUUU